rnacentral:rRNA from 1 species
AAGAGUAGCUAAGAUUGCCUCAGUAACGGCGAGUGAAGCGGCAAGAGCCCAAACUGAAAAUCUUCACACUGCGUGUGACGAAUUGUAAUCUAAAGAUGGGUCGCUCACCGGGCGGUGGCGCAGAAGUGCCCUUGAACGGGCCGCCAGAGAGGGUGACAGCCCCGUACGUGGUGCCACUGCCUAACGAGCGUCUCUUCGAAGAGUCGGGUUGUUUUGUAUUGCAGCCCUAAGUGGGAGAUAAACUUCUUCUAAGGCUAAAUACUUAUGGGAAACCGAUAGCGAACAAGUACUGUGAAGGAAAGAUGAAAAGAACUUUGAAAAGAGAGUCAAAAGACUUGAAAUCGUUGAGAAGGAAGCGGUAGAAAUUUAUUCUUCGGUGGGGGACGGUGGCGUCUGCCUAACCAUUGGCGGCUGUCAGUACUGUAUAAGGCUGCGGCUGUCACUUGGGGAAGCGGGCGUCUUGCCCCCCAUCGUGAGGCAAAAUGAGGUCGCGCAUCCGCAAAGGUUUCCCAGACCUGGCCUGGUUCGCCAGGCAGUUUGGGUUUACCAGCGGGCGUGCGGCCUGAGGGCGCUUUUGCGAUUUUGCCAAAAUGGUUUUUACCGACCCGUCUUGAAACACGGACCAAGGAGUCUAACAUAUAUGCGAGUGUGCUGGUGGAGAAACCAACACGCGUAAUGAAAGUAAGCGAUGCCAAGCGCAAGCAGCAGCAUCGACCGACCAUGAUCCUCCGGUGAAAGGUUUGAGUAAGAGCAUAUCUGUUAGGACCCGAAAGAUGGUGAACUAUGCCUGAGUAGGGUGAAGCCAGGGGAAACUCUGGUGGAGGCUCGUAGCGGUUCUGACGUGCAAAUCGAUCGUCAAACUUGGGUAUAGGGCGAAAGACUAAUCGAACCAUCUAGUAGCUGGUUCCUUCCGAAGUUUCCCUUAGGAUAGCUGGACAAUAACGCAGUUUUAUCAGGUAAAGCGAAUGAUUAGAGGCCUCGGGGGUAAAAUACCCUCGACCUAUUCUCAAACUUUGAAUUGGUAAGAACUCCGGCCUUUCUUAAUUGAGGCGCGGAGGCUCAAUGCGUGUCCUUAGUGGGCCAUUUUUGGUAAGCAGAACUGGCGAUGAGGGAUGCUCCUAACGUCGAGUUAAGGUGCCCAACUGCACGCUCAUCAGACACCACAAAGGGUGUUGGUUCAUCCAGACAGCAGGACGGUGGCCAUGGAAGUCGGAACCCGCUAAGGAGUGUGUAACAACUCACCUGCCGAAUGGACUAGCCCCGAAAAUGGAUGGCGCUUAAGCGUGCGACCGAUACUCGACCAUUGUAGCGAGAGUGAGGCUGCAAUGUGUAGGAGGGCGUGAGCGUUGUUGCGAAGCCUCUGACGUGAGUCUGGGUUGAACAGCGCUUAGUGCAGAUCUUGGUGGUAGUAGCAAUUAUUCAAAUGAGAACUUUGAAGGCCGAAGUGGAGAAGGUUUCCGUGAGAACAGCAAUUGGUCACGGGUGACUCGAUCCUAAGACAUGGGGGAAAUCCUUGUUAAGUGCGCCAUCUGGCGCGUAGUCGAAAGGGAAUGAGGUUAAUAUUCCUCAAGCUGGAUGUGGGUGUUGUAUGGCAACAUAAGUGAGCUCAGAGACGCCAGCGUGAGCCUCUGGAAGAGUUAUCUUUUCUUUUUAACAGGCUAGCGACCUUGAAAUUGGAUUAUCCAGAGCUAAGGUGGCAUGCCUGGAAGAGCACUUUGCUUUUCGAAGUGUCAGGUGCGCUCACGAUGGCCCAUGAAAAUCUGAGGAGAUUAUCACAGCCA